CUUGCAAGUCCGAGUUGUAGUCUGAAGAAACGUUUUCCAUGAAAGCUGAGGCACAAGUCCUUUGGAACAGGGCAUCAUAGAGGGUGAGAAUCCCGUCCAUGGUCUCAUGCAUUUCAUUUUGUGAUACGUUUUCUAAGAGUCAGGUUGUUUGGGAAUGCAGCCUAAAAUGGGUGGUAAAUUUCAUCUAAAGCUAAAUAUUGGCGAGAGACCGAUAGCGAACAAGUACCGUGAGGGAAAGAUGAAAAGAACUUUGAAAAGAGAGUUAAAAAGUACGUGAAAUUGUUGAAAGGGAACCGUUUGAAGCCAGUCUUGCUUACUUGUGAUCAAUCUUAGCUUCGGCUUGGAUGCACUCUCGAGUUAUGCAGGUCAACGUCAGUUUGAGAGGUGGGAAAAAAGUUUGAGGAAUGUGGCCUUCGGGUGUUAUAGCCUCUUACUAAAUACCAUCUCCUGGACUGAGGCUCGCAGCAAAAAUGUGGGUUGGUUUGCUCCUGAGGUGAAUCAUUAUUAAGACAGCUUGCUGACUUAGUUUUGUGGAUCUUCACGGUAGACCAGCUUCUAAUUUGCUUAGGUCGUUGACAUAAUGGCUUUAAAUGACCCGUCUUGAAACACGGACCAAGGAGUCUAACAUAUAUGCGAGUAUUUGGGUGUCAAACCCACAUGCGCAAUGAAAGUGAAAUUAGGUGCCAAACCCGCAAGGGUGGCAGCAUCGGCCGGCUYUAACGUUUCUAACUGACGAGUCUGAGCAGAAGCAUACAUGUUGGGACCCGAAAGAUGGUGAACUAUGCCUGAAUAGGGUGAAGCCAGAGGAAACUCUGGUGAGGGCUCGUACGAUUCUGACGUGCAAAUCGAUCGUCAAAUUUGGGUAUAGGGGCGAA
rnacentral:rRNA from 1 species